rnacentral:rRNA from 1 species
GACGAACGCUGGCGGCGUGCCUAAUACAUGCAAGUCGAGCGCUGACGGUUUGUACUUUUGCCGUCUGGAUGAGCAGCGAACGGGUGAGUAACGCGUGGGUAAUCUUCCUCUUAGCGGGGGACAACAUCUGGAAACGAAUGCUAAUACUGCAUAAUAACUUUAAACACAAGAUUCAAGUUUGAAACAUGCCAUUGCAUCACUCAAAGAUGAUUCCGCGUUGUAUUAGCUAGCUGGUGAGGUAAAGGCCCACCAAGGCGAUGAUACAUAGCCGACCUGAGAGGGUGGUCGGCCACAUUGGGACUGAGAAACGGCCCAAACUCCUUACGGAAGGAGCAGGAGGGGAUCAUCGGAAAAGGACGGAAAUCUGGACGAGCAACGCCGCGUGAGGGAAGGAGGGUUUCGGAUCGGUAAACUCUGUUGGUAGAGAAGGACGUGGAUGAGGGUGAAAAGCUGAUCAAGUGACGGUAACUAACGAGAAAGGGACGGCUAACUACGUG